ACGGGGUGCAGCAGGCGCGAAAACUUUGCAAUACACGAAAGUGUGACAGGGCUAUCCUGAGUGCCAUCCGCUGAGGAAGGCUUUUACCCAGUCUAGAAAGCUGGGGGAAUAAGGAGAGGGCAAGUCUGGUGUCAGCCGCCGCGGUAAUACCAGCUCUCCGAGUGGUGUGGAUGUUUAUUGGGCCUAAAGCAUCCGUAGCUGGCUAAGUUAGUCCCUUGUUAAAUCCACCGAAUUAAUCGUUGGAUUGCGGGGGAUACUGCUUGGCUAGGGGACGAGAGAGGCAGACGGUAUUUCCGGGGUAGGGGUGAAAUCCUAUAAUCCCGGGAAGACCACCAGUGGCGAAGGCUGUCUGCUAGAACGCGCCCGACGGUGAGGGAUGAAAGCUGGGGGGGCGAACCGGAUUAGAUACCCGGGUAGUCCCAGCUGUAAACGAUGCAGGCUAGGUGUUUGGACGGCCACGUGCCGUUCUAGUGCCGCAGGGAAGCUGUUAAGCCUGCCGCCUGGGGAGUACGAUCGCAAGAUUGAAACUUAAAGGAAUUGGCGGGGGAGCAC
rnacentral:rRNA from 1 species